GAUGAAGAACGUAGCGAAAUGCGAUAAGUAGUGUGAAUUGCAGACUUUAGUGAAUCAUCGAAUCUUUGAACGCACAUUGCGCCCCUUGGUAUUCCAUUGGGCAUGCCUGUUCGAGCGUCAUUUACAACCUCAAGCUCCGCUUGGUGUUGGGUGUCUGUCUGCGCUUCUUGCGAAGACUCGCCCUAAAUCUAUUGGCAGCGGCAUCGCCGGCUUCUCGCGCAGUACAAUGCGUUAUGGAAGGCUGCCGGCGGGCUUGCGUCCAUCAAGUAACCCCCCAAGUUUGACCUCGAAUCAGGUAGGGAUACCCGCUGAACUUAAGCAUAUCAAUAAGCGGAGGA
rnacentral:misc_RNA from 1 species